rnacentral:SRP_RNA from 1 species
UCGGCCCCUCGCGACGCUAGGUCGAAAAUCCCGCCAGGGCCGGAAGGCAGCAACGGUAUCGAUCGACGCGGGCGCCGAGGUUAGCCGG